rnacentral:rRNA from 1 species
AUUGAACGCUGGCGGCAGGCUUAACACAUGCAAGUCGAGCGGAGAUGAGGUGCUUGCACCUUAUCUUAGCGGCGGACGGGUGAGUAAUGCUUAGGAAUCUGCCUAUUAGUGGGGGACAACGUUCCGGAAGGAAUGCUAAUACCGCAUACGUCCUACGGGAGAAAGCAGGGGAUCUUCGGACCUUGCGCUAAUAGAUGAGCCUAAGUGGGAUUAGCUAGUUGGUGGGGUAAGGGCCUACAAAGGCGACGAUCCGUAGCGGGUCUGAGAGGAUGAAGCGGCAACGUGGGAAUAGGACAAGGCCGAGACUCCUACGGGAGGCGGAAGUGGGGAAUAUUGGAAAAGGGGGGGAACCCUGAUCCUGCCAUGCCGCGUUUGUGAAGAAAGCCUUAUGGUUGGAAAGCACUUUAAGCGAGGAGGAGGCUACUGAGACUAAUACUCUUGGAUAGUGGACGUUACUCGCAGAAUAAGCACCGGCUAACUCUGUGCCAGCCGCCGCGGUAA